rnacentral:rRNA from 1 species
CCAGAGAACUUAGCAGAGAUGCUUUGGUGCCUUCGGGAACUCUGAGACAGGUGCUGCAUGGCUGUCGUCAGCUCGUGUUGUGAAAUGUUGGGUUAAGUCCCGCAACGAGCGCAACCCUUAUCCUUUGUUGCCAGCGGCUCGGCCGGGAACUCAAAGGAGACUGCCGGUGAUAAACCGGAGGAAGGUGGGGAUGACGUCAAGCCAUCAUGGCCCUUACGGCCAGGGCUACACACGUGCUACAAUGGCGCAUACAAAGAGAAGCGACCUCGCGAGAGCAAGCGGACCUCAUAAAGUGCGUCGUAGUCCGGAUUGGAGUCUGCAACUCGACUCCAUGAAGUCGGAAUCGCUAGUAAUCGUAGAUCAGAAUGCUACGGUGAAUACGUUCCCGGGCCUUGUACACACCGCCCGUCACACCAUGGGAGUGGGUUGCAAAAGAAGUAGGUAGCUUAACCUUCGGGAGGGCGCUUACCACUUUGUGAUUCAUGACUGGGGUGAAGUCGUAACAAGGUAAGCGUAGCGAG